CAGCGAGCAGGGCCCGCUGUUUUGCAAACCUCUCCUGGGGUCCCAGCGCCUUGUCUGUUUUCGCCAUCUUCUUUAUGCAGGUGCCCAGCCUCCCAGGAGGAAGAUAACGCUGAGGAGUGAACAGAAAGGAUUUUCCUGCGCCCACUCGGAAUGCAGAGAAGAAUCCUGUGGAAAAUCCAAAUGGCAUCCACGGACCAAGAAAUUAUUCGAGAAACAGAUGACGUGCUCUGGACUCAUGAUCUCUAGCUGAUGGUGUGAGGCUGAAACAAACCCUGACGGCUGUCACCCACGAUGAGUAAAGGUGGAUCCCAGCGCCUCUGCAGCGAAGGCGCGCUCCUCGAGCACCUGCUCGCUCCCCUCCCCCACCGCCUUCAGGAAUGAGAGAGGAGGCAGCAGGCCCAGGGCGCGAGCUGGGAGCUGGCCCUGGAACCGCAGGUGACCUUCCACUCUUCAGGUGCUCAGACCACCUGAAGCACCUGCCUCCUCUUCUGCUCCCUCUCCCCAUCCUGCCUCACUUCCCAUGGCCUCCUUCAUUCCAGCCAUUCUGGAGAACACCUCCCUACUUGCCCCCAGCCAUGAUACUUCAGAGAUGAGCACCAAGACGACAAACCUCCUUCAUAUUAAUGUUUAUUGUUAGAUAUUGGCUCCCAACUAAACAAAAAUAUAAUUUCUCUGUACCUACUGUUUGGAGCAACGGGCAAGAAACGAAAGCCUCACACCCCCACCCCAUCCCAUCCCCUCCCCUUUGUGAAGCAGAAGACAAGCACGUGCUUGUGCUCAGAAGCCUGAGAUAUCUCCUGUUGCUUGGUCACAUCCCUGGGCUGGAACCAUAAUCCUGGCAAGAUCCAGCACUCCUCUCACUCAACACCACACCUGUGCUGCUGAACUUGGCUGAGGGAAACGAAGGCAGCCUCUGGAUGAGGCUUGCUGUAAAUGUGUGAGCAUUCACUUCCGCAGGCUGGUUGCACUGUCUUACCCCAGAUGGUUAUGAGCACCCCCUCCCUCCUUUGUUCCUGCUUCUAUUUCCUCCAGCUUCACUCCCAACUGGAGACUUGGCUUCAGACAUCACUGCAAAAAAAUAAAAAAAUAAAA